AAAAAGAAUAAAGCUGGAGCUGCCAACUGAAGCAAAGACACUAAGAGAAAAUAAUUCAGAAAUGUGAUAUAAUUUAUUUGUCACAGUUCGGAUUAGCAAUAACAGACAUAAUCCUGCCUUUAAAUAUCAUCAUCACAUCUUUAUUCCAGACACGAACAAGGUCCAAUAAUAAAAGGAUGAAACAAACAAAAGAAAACAAUAAACAUUACAUUAUAUUAUUCACCGAGUCAAAAAUAAAUAUUGAUAUAUUUUCUAAUAUUUCUAACAGGAUGCUGUGGUUGGGCCCGGCCUGAAUGCUGAUACUGUCCAGUAAUAUUCUAACAUCUUUUAUAUAAUCAUUACUUUCUGAUCCCGUUCCCCCAGCAGAACCCGACCGGUACCGCUCGGCUCCGAACCUGCUCGCUGUAAGCUGACCCGGGGUCUCCAGCUGAGGUCCAGCAGUCUCCGCUGCCGGUCGAUCUCCUCCUCGUACUGGACGAUGGUUUUUUCCAGCUGGGUGAAGAUUUCUUCAGCAGCAGCAGUUAGUCUCUCUC